rnacentral:rRNA from 1 species
GGAUCAGUACGCUGGUCGUGCCUUCGGUAUGUACUGGUGUUACUGGUUCCUACCUUCUGACGAACCGUCAUGUCAUUAAUUUGGUGUGGCGGGGAAUCAGGACUGUUACUUUGAAAAAAUUAGAGUGUUCAAAGCAGGCAUUUGCUCGAAUACAUUAGCAUGGAAUAAUAGAAUAGGACC